GGUCUCUGGGGGAGAAAUUUUGCUCUCCAUAACAACGGGGUCUGUGGAUUAUGUAUGAGUUCUCCAAGGGAGAGGAGCAUGCUUCAGCUUGACUGGUUCUUUGGUCUCCACUCAACUCUGAAACACUUCUGGAAUGGUUUGAGUCACUGGCAACCUGGAGUCUUCCAAAACUUUUGUGAGACUGCUUGAAGAAGCACAGCUUAAAGGGGACACGUCACUGAGAGCAUACUGCUUUACAAUGGCAACUGCUCUCAAGCAGGAAGCAGACUCAAAGGCUUUGAUGUGUAUUUCCUUAUUGCUGGAGAGAUGGACUUUUUCCACAACGUGUUUCUGCCCAGGAAAGUUUCAGGAUGAGGAUAUAUACCUCACAUGCCUAAGGACUGAUAUGAAAAGGCUCUCAGACAGCACAAGGUGAAAAAUGGAGCAGAAGAAUAACUAUUAGGGAAUUCUGAAGUUUGGAAUCAAGUUUGGAUUUCUCUGCCAUUUAUUUGUGUAUACAGGUUGAGUAUGUCUUGAACCUUCUCUGCUCCAUGUUGAAACAGAGGUUAGGGACACUGGAAGUGCUACAGAUUUGGUUUUACGCACAAAUUUAAAUGAAUGGAGUAGAAUUGUUAAAAGUAUCUAUGCAGUCUGUGGGUUUUUUUGCUCUAUCUCUGUGCAUGGAGAGUCUGAAAAAUAGCAUCAUUGAAGUAAAAUGACAUGAUAAAAUUAUUGUUUUGUAAAUGGAAUAAUGUUUCAUAUUACAUUUAAUUUUUUCUUACUUGCUGUAAAUAAGAUGUUUCUUGAUCCCAAGUAACAUUGCUUGGUCUAGUAAAUGUCAGCCUAUAAAAAUUAAUUGAUGACAUAGAUACAGUACUGUAAAUGUGUAUGUCCAAAAGGUUAGAUGAGCUGGGCAGGAUAAAUAUACAGAGUAACAUAUGCUGCGCUUCAUCACUCUGGCAUGUGUUGAACUGAGCAUGUGUGUAAACCUUCCAUCUUUUAGAUGAUCUCAUGCUUAAUAGUGGGACAUUUACAUGUGAUGGACACACAGUACUGAAGAGCCUGAUGACAUGGGAACUCUGGUAUGGGGUAUUCCUUUUGCAGGCUGGGUGCUGUUUGGUGUUUGUAG
rnacentral:lncRNA from 1 species